rnacentral:rRNA from 1 species
AGAGUUUGAUCAUGGCUCAGAUUGAACGCUGGCGGCGUGCCUAACACAUGCAAGUCGAGCGGUAACAGGUGUAGCAAUACAUGCUGACGAGCGGCGAACGGGUGAGUAAUGCUUCGGAAUCUUCCCAGUAGUGGGGAAUAACUAGCCGAAAGGUUAGCUAAUACCGCAUACGUCCUACGGGAGAAAGCAGGGGAUCGCAAGACCUUGCGCUAUUGGAUGAGCCGAAGUCGGAUUAGCUAGUUGGUGAGGUAACGGCUCACCAAGGCGACAAUCCGUAGCUGGUCUGAGAGGACGACCAGCCACACUGGGACUGAGACACGGCCCAGACUCCUACGGGAGGCAGCAGUGGGGAAUAUUGGACAAUGGGGGAAACCCUGAUCCAGCGACGCCGCGUGUGUGAAGAAGGCCUGCGGGUUGUAAAGCACUUUUAGUGGGGAUGAAAAGUUCAGGGCUAAUACUCCUGGAUCUUGACCUAACCCACAGAAAAAGCACCGGCUAACUCUGUGCCAGCAGCCGCGGUAAUACAGAGGGUGCAAGCGUUAAUCGGAAUUACUGGGCGUAAAGCGUGCGUAGACGGUUACGUAAGUCAGGUGUGAAAGCCCCGGGCUCAACCUGGGAAUUGCAUUUGAGACUGCAUAGCUAGGGUGCGGAAGAGGGAAGCGGAAUUUCCGGUGUAGCGGUGAAAUGCGUAGAUAUCGGAAGGAACACCAGUGGCGAAAGCGGCUUCCUGGUCCAGCACCGACGUUCAGGCACGAAAGCGUGGGGAGCAAACAGGAUUAGAUACCCUAGUAGUCC